rnacentral:lncRNA from 1 species
GAUGGGUAUCAGGAGGCAGGCGUCCUGCGGUCCUGAGGAGUGACCGUCACAGACUGAAAUGCUUAUGGCUGGAAGUAACUGGAAAUCUGGCAGCUGCAGCUCAGACAAGUGAGGCUUAUUCACCUCGUCUAAUUAAAGGCGCAGAGGGGGCAGCUGUUGGUCUCGGUUCCAGGCUCGGGAAGCUUUUGCUGACACGUCUGCAGCCCGGCCAGUGCUUUCUGCUGCCACGAGGAGGAGUCGGCUGGGAAAAGCUCAGCACUGAGCCGGAUGCAUGGAAACUGUUCAGAAAAUGGUCACAGUUAUUAGAAUAUUCAAAUUUUGAAUGAAUCAUAAACUUUUGUGGAAUGAAAACAGAAGAUUUCCUCAAGCCUGAAGCCAGUUCUGGCUCGCUCCUUUCAGCUCCCGGAGAACUUUCCAUGGACCUUUUCUUCUCUGUUUUUGUUGUAGCUGUCUUUCAGCCUGGAAGUAGCUAUCUACUCACUUGUGUAGUCAGGGCCUUUUGACUGGAAGUGACAGAAAUAAACAAAACUCGGCAUGACUUAGGGGCAGGGAAAGUGUGUACGUUUGUGUGAACAUAAUGGUUUAGCUUCAGGAAUGGUUGGAUCCAGGUGUGCCCCUGUUGUUUAGGAAUCAUCUUCUCUCUGACUCUGUUUUCCUGUGUCAGCUAUGGUCACCACACAUGGUAGCGAAGAUAGUCCCUAGCAUUCCUGGGCUUCCAUUCUGCCAGAGCAGACAGUCAGAUGGAGAGAGGCUGACUUCUCUACCUCAUCCCUCACAGGUCUGAGGCUGACUCUGAUUGGCUGAUUGAGUCACAUGCACAAAUCAGAGCCAAUCCCUGAGGUCAUGGCAGGGAAUAUGCUGAUUGGCCAGGCCUGAUCCAUCCACCCAACUGGCUUGGGGGACAGCUCUCUCCCUUUGGAACUAAGUGCAGUGCUGGUCAGGGAGGACUGGUUGUCUAAAGGAAGACCAGAAGAUAAGGGGGAGACAGUGAGACACUGGAAUAGAAGAUGAGAUGAUGGCAUUGUACAGUGGCCACUGAAGCACUGCUUGAUUGUCCUGCUUUCUGUACUCCAGCACCUUCGUUGGGCAUGAUCAGUGAUCAAUGGUUGUCAAAUGAAUAAGUGAUAGCUAGGGAAGAGAGUGAUCUC